rnacentral:rRNA from 1 species
GGCAGCAGUGGGGAAUAUUGGACAAUGGGCGAAAGCCUGAUCCAGCCAUGCCGCGUGUGUGUAGAAGGUCUUCGGAUUGUAAAGCACUUUAAGUUGGGAGGAAGGGCAGUAAAUUAAUACUUUGCUGUUUUGACGUUACCGACAGAAUAAGCACCGGCUAACUCUGUGCCAGCAGCCGCGGUAAUACAGAGGGUGCAAGCGUUAAUCGGAAUUACUGGGCGUAAAGCGCGCGUAGGUGGUUCGUUAAGUUGGAUGUGAAAUCCCCGGGCUCAACCUGGGAACUGCAUUCAAAACUGUCGAGCUAGAGUAUGGUAGAGGGUGGUGGAAUUUCCUGUGUAGCGGUGAAAUGCGUAGAUAUAGGAAGGAACACCAGUGGCGAAGGCGACCACCUGGACUGAUACUGACACUGAGGUGCGAAAGCGUGGGGAGCAAACGGGAUUAGAUACCCUGGUAGUCCACGCCGUAAACGAUGUCAACUAGCCGUUGGGAGCCUUGAGCUCUUAGUGGCGCAGCUAACGCAUUAAGUUGACCGCCUGGGGAGUACGGCCGCAAGGUUAAAACUCAAAUGAAUUGACGGGGGCCCGCACAAGCGGUGGAGCAUGUGGUUUAAUACGAAGCAACGCGAAGAACCUUACCAGGCCUUGACAUCCAAUGAACUUUCCAGAGAUGGAUUGGUGCCUUCGGGAACAUUGAGACAGGUGCUGCAUGGCUGUCGUCAGCUCGUGUCGUGAGAUGUUGGGUUAAGUCCCGUAACGAGCGCAACCCUUGUCCUUAGUUACCAGCACGUAAUGGUGGGCACUCUAAGGAGACUGCCGGUGACAAACCGGAGGAAGGUGGGGAUGACGUCAAGUCAUCAUGGCCCUUACGGCCUGGGCUACACACGUGCUACAAUGGUCGGUACAGAGGGUUGCCAAGCCGCGAGGUGGAGCUAAUCCCAGAAAACCGAUCGUAGUCCGGAUCGCAGUCUGCAACUCGACUGCGUGAAGUCGGAAUCGCUAGUAAUCGCGAAUCAGAAUGUCGCGGUGAAUACGUUCCCGGGCCUUGUACACACCGCCAUC